rnacentral:lncRNA from 11 species
AGAAAAGGGAAUUAUAUCCUCACAUAACCAUCACUACUACCAGACAGACAAGUGGAAAUGAAGACAUGCAAAUGCUCCUGUGAAGGUGAUGGGACUGAGAGCUGGGCCUCCCCUAAUGAUCCUAAUCUCCUAGGUAGUUCAUAGGAGGAGAUACAUUCAGACAGAACAGAGGCAGCGUUUAAGGACUACAGAUUUCCCAUGCCUUGAAGCUUCAAACAGGGACUCAUACUGGCUUGAGCAUUGGAAACCAGGAUUUAAAUCCUCACUCAGUCAUGGAAAUCUGCUGGGUCACUUUGUGCAGAUCACAUUCAUUUAACCUCAGAAGAAGGAAAAGGUAAACCUCCUCUGAACAAACCUUACCAACAUAUCUCAUGAUAUAUUCACCAAUCAUCAUAA